rnacentral:rRNA from 1 species
GACGAACGCUGGCGGCGUGCUUAACACAUGCAAGUCGAACGGAAAGGCCCUGCUUUUGUGGGGUGCUCGAGUGGCGAACGGGUGAGUAACACGUGAGUAGCCUGCCCUUGACUUUGGGAUAACUUCAGGAAACUGGGGCUAAUACCGGAUAGGAGCUCCUGCUGCAUGGUGGGGGUUGGAGAGUUUCGGCGGUUGGGGAUGGACUCGCGGCUUAUCAGCUUGUUGGUGGGGUAGUGGCUUACCAAGGCUUUGACGGGUAGCCGGCCUGAGAGGGUGACCGGCCACAUUGGGACUGAGAUACGGCCCAGACUCCUACGGGAGGCAGCAGUGGGGAAUAUUGCACAAUGGGCGGAAGCCUGAUGCAGCAACGCCGCGUGCGGGAUGACGGCCUUCGGGUUGUAAACCACUUUCGCCUGUGACGAAGCGUGAGUGACGGUAAUGGGUAAAGAAGCACCGGCUAACUACGUG